CUGAAUGAUGAUCCAACACGUAUUACUUUUUCUGGUACCUCUUUAUCGAGCCUAGUUUCGGCCAGUCGAUGAUAGCAACGGACUUCUGACG
rnacentral:snoRNA from 1 species